GACAGAGGGUGCAAACGUUGCUCGGAAUUACUGGGCGUAAAGCGUGCGCAGGCGGUUUGUAAGCCAGGUGUGAAAUCCCCGGGCUCAACCUGGGAAUGGCAUUUGGGACUGCAAGGCUGGAGUGCGGCAGAGGAGACUGGAAUUCCUGGUGUAGCAGUGAAAUGCGUAGAUAUCAGGAGGAACACCGGUGGCGAAGGCGGGUCUCUGGGCCGUAACUGACGCUGAGGAGCGAAAGCGUGGGGGAGCGAACAGG
rnacentral:rRNA from 1 species